GACCUGCACCAAGGCCGCCAGCGCGAAGAAGGCGGCCAUGAGUCCGUUGCAGGCCCGCCACAGCGCUGGCGCCAUGGCUCGGAGAACACGGCGCGGGGCGGUGAGUCCUGCCACGUGCGGGGCGGUGUGGUCAGCUACUCCGGAAUGUGGCAGGGGUGGAGGCCGGACAAAGUCUGAAACAGGGUCAUCACCAUAGCACCUGACAUACCUGGAUAUAAACAAUAUCCAAGGCCCCUAAGGUAAAAGCCUUGCUCCAAGUCCCCUUCUGACUUCUAGUCACUUCCGUGCUGCCAGCAGAGGGCGUGGGAUUCUUCCUGAGGAGCCUGAGUCUCAGCUUUGCCAGGUCCUUGCUGUGUGACCUUGGGCACCUGUGCUCCCUUGACAAAGAGGAAUAAAACCUCUUCAGACUACUCUCCUAUCGAUUCUCUCCUGGAACAUAUGACCACCAUCAAUUAUAGGCAAGAACAUGAACACGGGAGUCCCAAAGACUUGGGUUCAAAUGUCAGCCCCUUCACUCGCUGGCUGUAGGUGUGAGGCCCUGGGUAAGGUCCUUACCUCCCCAAGUGUCUGAGCCUGUUCCCGUAUAAUGUUCACUUGCCUUGAAUAUCAUGAAAUGUACAUUAGACUUUGUAAGUAAACACCUAGCUGAGUAUCUGGAGCAUAGUAAGUGCUUAUCACACAUUCCAUGGAGUCCCAGACACGAGCAACUAAUGCUCCUGCCGUCCGCUCAGUUUGAGA
rnacentral:lncRNA from 10 species